rnacentral:lncRNA from 1 species
CGUUAUUUCGCUCAGUGUUUUUAAAGUUAUGUAUUAUUUUGCAAUUUUUUUAAAUUUAUUAACUAAUUUUCAUCCUUGUGCGUAAUUUAAUUUUCGUCCUGGUUAGCUCGUACACAGGCUGUUUUAUUUAUUUACUUCUUUCGUUGCACGAAAUCUCUGAUGACGAUGCAGGGAAAGAUUGUCUAUGUGCCUUUGGAUUACUAUGGAAUACCUUUAUACAGAUGAAGGACAGAUGAAAACUGCUGCCAAGUUAUUAGAAGGCCAAGAAUUUACUUCAGCAGAACAGGAAGACACCUUCUUGGAAUUAAGAGAGCAACCCUUUCUUCAGUAAUCAAAUACUGCAGCUAUUUCUGAAGAGAUGGAACAUUUUCAAAAACAGAGCAGUAAGACAAGAAAAAGCAGGAAUACCGAAUCAUUAUUACAAACAAUCAAAGAAAUAGUACUGCUGAAAUCCACUACUUCAACUUCUGAAAACCAUCAAGGCAGCUGUAUGUAUGUAAACUGAAACUGACUUUUACGUUUUAAGAGCCCUGAAGCAGGCUUCCAUCAUAACAGUAUUGAAGGUAUUUGAGAAGCCACUGAAGGAGAUGGAAGAUCAUUGAUAAAGUCCAAGUAAUGAACUUUGAGGAUUUCUAGCUCUGUAAUUUUGAUAUUUUUUAUAUUAGAAUAUGUUUGAAAAGUUUUCGCAGGAAAUUAUAUAUUUUUUCGAUAAUUAUCCGUAAGCUGAAUCAUUAAAGAUGGAAAAUUAUAACAAAUAAAUUUAGAGAUAAUUCGUUGUUACCACUUCCGAUUAAAUUCUUUCUCAACCUCGAUAGCUAAGAAGCAGGUAGCAACAUUUUUUUCAUUAUUAAAAGCCGAAACUCUCAAGAGCUCGCAGAAUUUGAUGAACUAUGGAAUGGUAUGCUCUAAAACCAGAUUUUAAAAUAUGAUAGAAUUUACAUAUUACAGCCAGAAAAUUGGUAAGAAGUUUAUGUAAAUUUUGUUCCUUUUAAUUUGCUUAUUUAAGUUGGCUGAUAGAGCAAAAAUUAUUUAGAGACUUAAAUUCUUUCGAACUUCCAAAAAAUGAUAAUGGAAGCAAUUUUCGAUUUUCCCGCAAAGUACUUGAAUUUUAGACAAGCAUUACUAUAUUUCAAGUUCUACAAUAACUGUCAUGGGCUUCCGUAGAUAUCACUUCAUUUCUAAGACUUUUAAGGAUGUCAUUAAUAUUUUUAGAAAUACGAUAUAUAUAUAUAUUUUUUGAUUUAUAAAUUUCAUAUAAAUUAUGUUAUUAGUAAGUACUGGAUUGUUAUGUGCAUUAAUUUCAGAUUUCAUUGCAGGGUUUCUGGUACGUAGGGCUAAAUUAAUGGCAAUUCCUUUUGAAGAUAUAACUAUAAAUAUCAUAAAUAGAUUUGAGCUUUGAAACUUGUAGAAUUCUUUCUACUAUUUGUCACUAACAAUUUAUUUUAUGUUUCGGAUCUUUACUCUCACUUCUCUUUUCCGUUUCUCUGCCAGAAUGUAAAUGAGGUAGAAAGAUAUAGCAUCAAAAGGAAGGUUCGAGAGUUUAAUUCAGAGCGUGAUCUGCACCUCAAGGCCACACAUCUACGUUAGCUAGCUGAGAUAAGAUCGUAUUAUUCGUCUUCGCAUAAUAGUUGCGAUAUUUAAAUUGUUACGCCAAUGCGAAAUUUUGAGCCAACUGAGCUUUAAAUCAAUUGCGUAGCCCUCGGCUACUAAGUUUUAAUUUGAAGCUCUAAUUUACUAUUUCUUUAAGUUAUAUCACUACAAGUGGCUGUCUGAUUUGUAAGCACAAGUCGUGCAUUUAUGUUCAAAGUUCUGAUUUAAUAAAAAUGUAUA